rnacentral:rRNA from 1 species
AGAGUUUGAUCAUGGCUCAGGACGAACGCUGGCGGCGUGCCUAAUACAUGCAAGUCGAGCGAAUCGACGGGAGCUUGCUCCCUGAGAUUAGCGGCGGACGGGUGAGUAACACGUGGGCAACCUGCCUAUAAGACUGGGAUAACUUCGGGAAACCGGAGCUAAUACCGGAUACGUUCUUUUCUCGCAUGAGAGAAGAUGGAAAGACGGUUUACGCUGUCACUUAUAGAUGGGCCCGCGGCGCAUUAGCUAGUUGGUGAGGUAAUGGCUCACCAAGGCGACGAUGCGUAGCCGACCUGAGAGGGUGAUCGGCCACACUGGGACUGAGACACGGCCCAGACUCCUACGGGAGGCAGCAGUAGGGAAUCUUCCGCAAUGGACGAAAGUCUGACGGAGCAACGCCGCGUGAACGAAGAAGGCCUUCGGGUCGUAAAGUUCUGUUGUUAGGGAAGAACAAGUACCAGAGUAACUGCUGGUACCUUGACGGUACCUAACCAGAAAGCCACGGCUAACUACGUGCCAGCAGCCGCGGUAAUACGUAGGUGGCAAGCGUUGUCCGGAAUUAUUGGGCGUAAAGCGCGCGCAGGUGGUUCCUUAAGUCUGAUGUGAAAGCCCACGGCUCAACCGUGGAGGGUCAUUGGAAACUGGGGAACUUGAGUGCAGAAGAGGAAAGUGGAAUUCCAAGUGUAGCGGUGAAAUGCGUAGAUAUUCGGAGGAACACCAGUGGCGAAGGCGGCUCACUGGCUCGAUACUGACGCUGAGGUACGAAAGUGUGGGGAGCAAACAGGAUUAGAUACCCUGGUAGU